rnacentral:rRNA from 1 species
UACAGAGGGGGCAAGCGUUGUUCGGAAUUACUGGGCGUAAAGGGCGCGUAGGCGGCCUGUUAAGUCGAACGUGAAAUCCCUGGGCUCAACCCAGGAACUGCGUCCGAGACUGGCAGGCUUGAAUCCGGGAGAGGGAUGCGGAAUUCCAGGUGUAGCGGUGAAAUGCGUAGAUAUCUGGAGGAACACCCGUGGCGAAGGCGGCACUCUGGGUCGGUCCUGACGCUGAGGCGCGAAAGCGUGGGGAGCGAACGGGG